UGCAGAGGGUGCGAGCGUUAAUCGGAAUUACUGGGCGUAAAGCGUGCGUAGACGGUUAUGUAAGUUAGGUGUGAAAGCCCCGGGCUCAACCUGGGAAUUGCAUUUAAGACUGCAUAGCUAGGGUGCGGAAGAGGGAAGCGGAAUUUCCGGUGUAGCGGUGAAAUGCGUAGAUAUCAGGAGGAACACCGGUGGCGAAGGCGGCUAUCUGGACAGAAACUGACGCUGAGGCGCGAAAGCUAGGGGAGCAAACAGG
rnacentral:rRNA from 1 species